AACGCAUCUUGCGCUCCCGGGUAAUUCCUGGGAGCAUGCUUGUUUGAGUAACGGAAAAGCUCAACCCCGCUUUCUUAAUUGAAGGCAGUCUGGGUUGGAUCAUGGUGCUUUGUUGCUUUGAAUAAAGACAACUGCGCUGAAAGAAAAUAAGCUGAAACUUUUGAAAUUGCAGGCUUCGGCUAGCUAUUGUUGUAUAACUUCGGUCUCAAUAGUGUAUGCGAUUAUCAAACUUACAGUAGGCUUUCAAACCUAUAGAGUCAACUCAAGUUUACUUGAAUUGCUUUUUUUACUUUGUUCUCAAAUCAAGUAGGACUACCCGCUGAACUUAA
rnacentral:misc_RNA from 2 species